UAAAAUGUGAGGUUAUGUAUAAACUUUGUGUAAAAUUAGUUUGAUCUUUAAAAGUGUUAUCGGCAUAAUUUAUUUUAUUCAAAUUACAAAAUAUAAAAGUGUAACUUAAAAAAUUUGUGAACAUUCUGGUAAAUUAGAGUCUGCGGUAAAAAUAGAAAAAAAUUCACGAGUUUUGACGUGCAUUCUAUAACAAUAAUAGAUAAAAGAAAAAUAAUCACUUGCAGUUAGUUUUUUUCUUUAAACAUUUAAAAAAAUUUUUCUAAAAAUUCAAUAGUCAAAAACACCUGUUAGAAAAUGAUCUUUGAUACAAGGAGAUAAUGGUAAGUUACGCGAAUGUGUAUUUGGACGAGAUGGCACCGACUCCUACGGCAUCGACACCGGCACCAGGCAAAUCAGUAGAUUCGGUGUUCUAUAACUAGACGCGACUAGGCGACUAGCAGUCAGACCCGUCAGCUCAGUCGCAUAGUUGAUGGAUAUAUCUACUAAUGUAUGGUUGGCCCCAACUGAAAGCACUAAGAGAAUAAGAGUGAAAUGUACGAAAUGCAGACUUGAAGAAAUUGCAAGUAUAUUCUAUAUUUCGUGGAAGGUCUCAACAACGAUGGAGUUCGGGAACUCGAGAAAAUCGAUGGCGUGUCACUGACCUCGGGCGCAUGAAUGCAAAUACCGCGAAAAGAGCGAGAGAGAAAAUAAAGGCAAAUCGGCUUAGAGGGGAAAAAAGAGAAAGAGAGAGAGGGAAAGUAUAGGAGAGAGCAUUUUGUAUUCUGACUGGAAAAAUCGCUCAGAUAUUAAGUUGAAAGAGUUUGUAGCCGCAGGUAUUAAGACAGGGAAUUCCAGGGCCCGAGUGCAGUUUGAUACGACCCUGACCUCAACCGUAGUUCGCUUCGUCUGGUCAAGCGUGCACCAGCGUCUCCUCGAGAAGGAGAAUGUGAGGAGAAGGAAAGGAAGAGGAGAGAGAGAGAGAGAAACACGUGAAAAAAAGAAGGGAAAGAAGAGCGACUGGGGUGAAGAAGAGGAAGGGGAAGAAAGAGGGAGAGAGUGAGUGUGCAUAAAACAGAAUCAUAGUGAGAGUCACAGAGAAGAACGAUGCUCAUAUAUACUCGCGCUUACAGAAACCUGUUCCCUUCGAAUUUUUCUACUUUCUGAUGAUCAUUUUUAUCUGUUAAAAUGCAGUCCGUAUGGUCCUAUACACCAAAUCAAGUAUAAAUCUGAAUCUGAACCCUGUGUGUGAGGAAGAAAUCGUUAUUAGGGUGACUAUAUAUCGUGCGGUUUGCGCUUUAAGUCCCAGUUUAUACACCACUUUAUCCCUACAGGAUUUCAUCAUCUAAGAUUUCGAUCUGUAAAAUUUCGCUACCAAGCUAAUGUAAUGUUCAUGUCCAAAUAGCACAGGAUUUUUGAAGCAAGUUUCUCAAGUAUAAAAUGUAAUACGGCCCUAAACUGGCCCAGUAUUGCCAAAACUGGCGCAGAUCAAAAAAGUUACAUAUAUUAAUUUGUAUCACUGCAAAAGUUGUAUCAAAUUAUUUCAUUGUAGUUUAAAAAAAAUCUAAGACCACCAAUUAUCCUCAUUGGUUCACUACUUUUCUUCAGUUUAGUAUCCCUUAUUUCUUCCAACAUAACCUAAUAUUCAACGCUUAUUUCAAAGGGUAAACAAUUCCCCAGAUAGAAAUAUUUUUCACUUGGUGAAAAUAAACGUUUCUACACUGAAAGAAAUUUUUCGUAAUUACUGACAUAAUUCUUGCUGUUUUUAUCAUAUCGUAUAACUAUAUGAAUUAACAUGGAACUGUUACUGCCAUACAGUUUGGGUAAUCCAACCAAACGAAUAGUACUUCCAAAGAGAAAGAUGUCUGAAUCAGACUUCACAUGGCUAAUAUAACCUAACUUACCUGUCAAUUUGACAGACUGUAUAACUAAUUCAACGAUAAGUUUAUGGCAGAAAUUUCGAUAGCAUUUCUUUCCGUCUAACUUUGUGUUUUGAAAGUUUGUAAUUUAUAUCUUUGGAUGGAUUAUUUUAAUCUUCGAUGGAUUAAAGCUUUGCAUCUCAUUUC